rnacentral:tRNA from 1 species
GGAUCCGACGCGGCACGGGCGCCGCACCCGGCUGUAGACCGGGCGCCUUCGGGCACAGGGGGUUCGAGACCCUCCGGAUCCA